AAAAUCGUGCAAAUUCAAAAUAUUGCAGGGGACGCGUAGGCCU
rfam:Propionibacterium sp. DORA_15 Q613_PSC00306, whole genome shotgun sequence.